rnacentral:rRNA from 1 species
CAGCCGCCGCGGUAAAACGGGGGGGGCAAGUGUUAUUCGGAAUGACUGGGCGUAAAGGGCACGUAGGCGGUGAAAAGGGUGGAAAGUGAAAGUCGCCAAAACACUGGCGGGGUGCUUUCUUGACCAUUUCACUUGAGUGAGAUAGGGGAGAGUGGAAUUUCGUGUGGAGGGAUCAAAUCCUAAGAUAUACGAAGGAACGCCAACCGCGAAGGCAGCUCUCUGGGUCCCCACUGACGCUGGGGUGCGAAAGCAUGGGGAGCAAACAGGAUCAGAUACCCGCGUAGUCCCUGUCUCUUAUACA